rnacentral:rRNA from 1 species
UACAGAGGGGGCAAGCGUUGUUCGGAAUUACUGGGCGUAAAGGGCGCGUAGGCGGCCCGCUAAGUCGAACGUGAAAUCCCCGGGCUCAACCCGGGAACUGCGUCCGAUACUGGUGGGCUUGAAUCCGGGAGAGGGAUGCGGGAUUCCAGGUGUAGCGGUGAAAUGCGUAGAUAUCUGGAGGAACACCGGUGGCGAAGGCGGCAUCCUGGACCGACACUGACACUGAGGAGCGAAAGCCAGGGGAGCAAACGGG